GAUGAACGCUAGCGGGAGGCUUAACACAUGCAAGUCGUGGGGCAGCACGGUGUAGCAAUACACUGGUGGCGACCGGCGCACGGGUGAGUAACGCGUAUGCAACCUGCCCUGUACAGGGGGAUAGCCCGGAGAAAUUCGGAUUAAUACCCCAUAAAGAUAUUGAGAGGCAUCUUUUAAUAUUUAAAGCUUCGGCGGUACGGGAUGGGCAUGCGUGACAGUAGCUAGUUGGUAGGGUAACGGCCUACCAAGGCUUCGAUGUCUAGGGGUCCUGAGAGGGUGAUCCCCCACACUGGUACUGAGACACGGACCAGACGCCUACGGGAGGCAGCAGUGAGGAAUAUUGGUCAAUGGGCGACAGUCUGAACCAGCCAUCCCGCGUGAAGGAAGAAGGCGCUAUGCGUUGUAAACUUCUUUUCCAGAGGAAUAAAAUUUUGUACGAGUACGGAACUGAAGGUACUCUGGGAAUAAGCAUCGGCUAACUCCGUGCCAGCCGCCGCCGUAACAC
rnacentral:rRNA from 1 species